rnacentral:rRNA from 1 species
AUUGAACGCUGGCGGCAUGCUUUACGCAUGCAAGUCGAACGGCAGCGGGGAGGAGCUUGCUUCUCUGCCGGCGAGUGGCGCACGGGUGAGUAAUACAUCGGAACGUGUCGAGAAGAGGGGGAUAACCACCCGAAAGGGUGGCUAAUACCGCAUAAAUUCUGAGGAAGAAAGCUGGGGACCUAGGAAUAGGCCUAGCGCUUUUUGAGCGGCCGAUGUCGGAUUAGCUAGUUGGUGAGGUAAAGGCUCACCAAGGCGAAGAUCUGUAGCGGGUCUGAGAGGAUGAUCCGCCACACUGGGACUGAGACACGGCCCAGACUCCUACGGGAGGCAGCAGUGGGGAAUUUUGGACAAUGGGGGCAACCCUGAUCCAGCCAUGCCGCGUGUAUGAAGAAGGCCUUAGGGUUGUAAAGUACUUUUGUUAGGGAAGAAAAGUCAGCUGUGAAUAAUGGCUGAUACUGACGGUACCUAAAGAAUAAGCACCGGCUAACUACGUG